AGUCGAACGAUGAAGCUUUUAGCUUGCUAGAAGUGGAUUAGUGGCGCACGGGUGAGUAAGGUAUAGUUAAUCUGCCCUACACAAGAGGACAACAGUUGGAAACGACUGCUAAUACUCUAUACUCCUGCUUAACACAAGUUGAGUAGGGAAAGUUUUUCGGUGUAGGAUGAGACUAUAUAGUAUCAGCUAGUUGGUAAGGUAAUGGCUUACCAAGGCUAUGACGCUUAACUGGUCUGAGAGGAUGAUCAGUCACACUGGAACUGAGACACGGUCCAGACUCCUACGGGAGGCAGCAGUAGGGAAUAUUGCGCAAUGGGGGAAACCCUGACGCAGCAACGCCGCGUGGAGGAUGACACUUUUCGGAGCGUAAACUCCUUUUCUUAGGGAAGAAUUCUGACGGUACCUAAGGAAUAAGCACCGGCUAACUCCGUGCCAGCAGCCGCGGUAAUACGGAGGGUGCAAGCGUUACUCGGAAUCACUGGGCGUAAAGGGCGCGUAGGCGGAUUAUCAAGUCUCUUGUGAAAUCUAAUGGCUUAACCAUUAAACUGCUUGGGAAACUGAUAGUCUAGAGUGAGGGAGAGGCAGAUGGAAUUGGUGGUGUAGGGGUAAAAUCCGUAGAUAUCACCAAGAAUACCCAUUGCGAAGGCGAUCUGCUGGAACUCAACUGACGCUAAGGCGCGAAAGCGUGGGGAGCAAACAGGAUUAGAUACCCUGGUAGUCCACGCCCUAAACGAUGUACACUAGUUGUUGGGAUGCUAGUCAUCUCAGUAAUGCAGCUAACGCAUUAAGUGUACCGCCUGGGGAGUACGGUCGCAAGAUUAAAACUCAAAGGAAUAGACGGGGACCCGCACAAGCGGUGGAGCAUGUGGUUUAAUUCGAAGAUACGCGAAGAACCUUACCUGGGCUUGAUAUCCUAAGAACCUUAUAGAGAUAUGAGGGUGCUAGCUUGCUAGAACUUAGAGACAGGUGCUGCACGGCUGUCGUCAGCUCGUGUCGUGAGAUGUUGGGUUAAGUCCCGCAACGAGCGCAACCCACGUAUUUAGUUGCUAACGGUUCGGCCGAGCACUCUAAAUAGACUGCCUUCGUAAGGAGGAGGAAGGUGUGGACGACGUCAAGUCAUCAUGGCCCUUAUGCCCAGGGCGACACACGUGCUACAAUGGCAUAUACAAUGAGACGCAAUACCGCGAGGUGGAGCAAAUCUAUAAAAUAUGUCCCAGUUCGGAUUGUUCUCUGCAACUCGAGAGCAUGAAGCCGGAAUCGCUAGUAAUCGUAGAUCAGCCAUGCUACGGUGAAUACGUUCCCGGGUCUUGUACUCACCGCCCGUCACACCAUGGGAGUUGAUUUCACUCGAAGCCGGAAUACUAA
rnacentral:rRNA from 1 species